GAUGAAGAACGCAGCGAAAUGCGAUAAGUAGUGUGAAUUGCAGAAUUCCGUGAAUCAUCGAAUCUUUGAACGCACAUUGCGCCCUAUGGUAUUCCGUAGGGCAUGCCUGUUCGAGCGUCAUUCAAACCUUCAAGCUCUGCUUGGUGUUGGGCGUCUGUCCUGCCUCACGGCGCGGACUCGCCUCAAAUCUAUUGGCGGCCGGCACGUUGGCUUCGAGCGCAGCAGAAACGCGAACUCGAGACCGGCGGAUCGGCUCCCAGAAGCUACCCCCAUGAAUUUGACCUCGGAUCAGGUAGGGAUACCCGCUGAACUUAAGCAUAUCAAUAAGCGGAGGA
rnacentral:misc_RNA from 1 species